GUCUGCAUGGCUUAGUCGGUAGCAUGUUUGGCUCGCAACCGAAGGGUCGUGGGUUCGAAUCCCGCCUCCACAUG
rnacentral:tRNA from 1 species